ACCUGGUUGAUUCUGCCAGUAGUCAUAUGCUUGUCUCAAAGAUUAAGCCAUGCAUGUCUAAGUAUAAGCAAUUAUACAGCGAAACUGCGAAUGGCUCAUUAUAUAAGUUAUCGUUUAUUUGAUAGUACCUUACUACUUGGAUAACCGUGGUAAUUCUAGAGCUAAUACAUGCUAAAAAUCCCGACUUCGGAAGGGAUGUAUUUAUUAGAUUAAAAACCAAUGCCCUUCGGGCUCACUGUGAUUCAUAAUAACUUCUCGAAUCGCAUGGCCGCGCCGGCGAUGGUUCAUUCAAAUUUCUUCCCUAUCAACUUUCGAUGCUAGAGUAGUGUUCUAGCAUGUUACAACGGAACGGAGGGUUAGGGCUCGACCCCGGAGGAGCCUGAGAAACGGCUACUACAUCCAAGGAAGCAGCAGGCGCGCAAAUUACCCAAUCCCGACACGGGAGUAGUGACGAUAAAUACUGAUACAGGGCUCUUUGGGUCUUGUAAUUGGAAUGAGUACAAUUUAAACCCUUAACGAGGAACAAUUGGAGGGCAAGUCUGGUGCCAGCAGCCGCGGUAAUUCCAGCUCCAAUAGCGUAUAUUAAAGUUUUGUGGUUAAAAAGCCGUAGUAGAACCUUGGGCCUGGCUGGCCGGUCCGCCUCACCGCUGCACUGUCCGGCCGGCCUUCCCUCUGUGGAACCGCAUGCCCUUCACGGUGUGCCGGGAAACAGGACUUUUACUUUGAAAAAAUUAGAGUGCUCCAGGCAGCCUAUGCUCAAUACAUUAGCAUGAAUAAUAGAAUAGACGUGGGUUCUAUUUUGUUGUUCUAGGACGCCGUAAUUUAAUGGACAGUCGGGCAUCGUAUUCAAUGUCAGAUGAAAUUCUUGAUUAUUAAGACUAACUACUGCGAAAGCAUUCAAGAUUUUCAUUAUCAGAACGAAAGUUAGGGAUCGAAGACGAUCAAUACCGUCUAGUCUUAACCAUAAACUAUGCCGACUAGAUCGACGAUGUUAUUUUUGACUCGUUCGCACCUUACGAAAAUCAAAGUCUGGCUCCAGGGAGUAUGUCGCAAGGCUGAAACUUAAAGAAAUGACGGAAGGGCACCACCAGGUGGAGCCGCGCUUAAUUUGACUCAACACGGGGAAACUCACCAGUCCAGACACAAUAGGAUGACAGAUUGAGAGCUCUUCUUGAUUUUGGGGUGUGCAUGCCGUUCUUAGUUGUGAUAUUGUCUGCUUAAUUGCGAUAACGAACGAGACCUUAACCUGCUAAAUAGCCCUAUUCUUGGCAGUACCCGGCUUCUUAGAGGACUAUCGGCUCAAGCCGAUGAAGUUUAGCAAUAACAGUCUUGAUGCCCUUAGAUGUUCGGCCGCACGCGCGUACACUGACGAGCCAGCUACUCCCUUGCCGGAAGCCCGGUAAUCUUGUUAAAACUCCGUCGUGCUGGAUAAGCAUUGCAAUUAUUGCUCUUCAACGAGAAUCCCUAGUAAGCGCAAUCAUCACUUGCUGAUUACGUCCUGCCCUUUGUACACACCGCCCGUCCUACUACGAUUGAAUGGUCCAGUAGGCUUUCGACUGCCCAGAGAGUGGCAACUACCACUCAGGCCGGAAAUUAUCCAAACUCGUCAUUUAGAGAAGUAAAAGUCGUAACAAGUCUCCUUGGUGAACCAGCGAGAUCAU
rnacentral:rRNA from 1 species